ACUAUUCUGGCCAACUUUGAC
ensembl:piRNA 21ur-3498 ncRNA